UAUUUAUUCUUUAUUUUUUGUAGAGACAGGGUCUUACUAUGCUGCCUAGGCUGGUCUUGAACUCCUUGCUUCAGGCGGUCCUCCUGCCUCGGCCUCCCAAAGUGAUAGGAUUACAAGCAUGAGCCACCAUGUCCAGAUGGCUCCAAGUUCUUGCACUGCGACUUCCACUUGGUUUUCUGUGUGAUUGAGAUCUCCCUUGUUCAUUGUGGGUUGGUGAUGUUCAUGAGAAACCCAAAGGCGAUGAAGCCAGUGGAGCCAACCUUCUCAAACCUUUCUCUCUUGGGAAACUGUGAGAGCAAAAUGUCCCCGGGGAACCUUGUGGUCCUCUUGCUCCUUUUAUCAUGAACCAAAAAUGCUCUCAGGUAUGACGUCAGUCUGAAUGGCCUGUAAAACAUGUUGGCGGUUCUACAUAAAACCAACAAAUGCAUACUCGUCAGCAUCAAUCUUAAAAUCAGGAUCAAGAAACAAAAAACUUUACCUAAACUUCUUAUUCAUUUACAUAGAAAGAAGUUGAAUUCUCUGAUUUGGUCCAGGGGAGAUGACUGUGAUGCUGGCACUGUUCUAAAAUCUGCACCAUGCAAUGCAGAAGCAACUCGACUUGUGAGGUUGUUGAGGACUUGAAAUGUGUCUGGUGUGACUGAGGAACUGAAUUUUUAAUUUUAGUCAACUGUAAUUCAUUUGAAUUUAAGAAGUCACGUUAUGAGUGGUUACCGUCUUGGAGAGGGUAGGCUGUGGACACUUGUGUUUGGUGACCAGACUAUGUGCUCCUCAAAACAUGCGAAGGUCACUCUGGAUAUUUCUUUAACAUGUCUUGUCUCACAAUGGUGCCCUAAAACAGAUUUGUCCCACAAAAGAACGCUCAUUCACUGAUGUAUUCAUUCAUUUAGCAAAUAUUUAUUGCAUAUCUUCUAUGUGCCAGGCACUGUGAUAAAAGCCAGGAGUAUGUCUAUGGAAAAAUGAUGCCAUCGUUUUAGUGGUAUUGUUAAUGUCUAUGAGAUUAGGAGAAUUGUGGGACUUUUCCUCCAUGGAACUGGCUAAGUCCCUGCAGUGAACUAAAUAGGUGAAAUGCAGAUUAUUCUGGGAAUAUGCAUGGUAACCCUGGAAAAGUGAGUAGCUGCGGCAAACCUGCCAUGUAAACACAGGCUGUGCACACAGGUGGGGAAGUGACAACGGGAAAGGGGAGAAGAGUCUGAAUUAAAUAUGGUGGGAACGAUGGUAUGUUUGAAGCUUAGAUGAAAUAGGAAUAAAGCCCUCGAAAGCGUUCUGGAAAGCACAUGGCAUUUACAAAUGGAAGCAGUGCACUGUCAACGUCACUGUGAGCUCCCGAGACAGUCCAGGCACAAGCUUCCCCAGCCACCCCCACGUAGCAUCCCAGAAACCAACCAAGCAAAGGAGCCAUUGCCUCAGGAGAAGGUGGCAGAACUUGAGGUAAAGAGGUGGUGCAAUUGGCUACCAAGGAAGGGAUUUCAGAGGACAGGAAAGCUGUGAACUGAGCAGGAAUGGGGGGAGGAGGGGCAAAGGCAUUAACACUUCAUUGGCUCAGGGACUUUCUGGUCAGAGACAGCCAGCCAGGACCUCAGAUGAGCAUUUUAUCCCCUCUUCUGCAGAGCACACAGCAAGAAGGAGAGGGGGACACGAAGGCUUGACUUUGGCACUUUCUCCAUUGAGUCAAAUGUUGUGGCUCUCACUGCAGGAUCCUGAAACACCGCUUAGAUCUGGAGUCCUCUGGAAGGGCGGAAGAAAGAGUCCACAAUAAGAUGCCCCUGCAUCUGGACUGGCUGGAGGCUCUGGCCUGAAGAGUCACAGCCCAUGUAGGUCCCUGGAGAGCCUUAUGGAGGGCACCGUUCAGGCUGGAGAUGGUCUGAUCUCUCUCUGUCCACAUACAUGUGCGUAUACAUUCCCAAAUAUUUAUUUCACUGGUUAGCUUCUCUUCCAACUCCCACUACAGGCCUUAGGGUUUCUUGGGAGAUUGCUUUCUGCACUUAUGGGGCAGAGACGUGGGGUGGAAGUUGGUGACAAGGAGGCAUCUAUUCCCUACCAAUAUUAGGGCACAUGAACCAAGGCCCAUGUGUCCCUCACACGUGGGGAUGAGAGGCCCUGCCAGUGGCUCUGGCCAGGCUUGAUGCGGCUCAGACGUGGCCCUUUACUCCCACAGCUAGAGGAAAAUCCUGUCAAAAUGGCUUAACGAUCUUCUAAUAUUUCCAUGCAAUUAAGGCCACAUCUGUCUCCCAGGCCCCCACACUCCUUUGCUGGUGCACAGACAUGAACCAAACAGUCUGUCUUGUCGAUCUGGAAGGUAACAAAGAGCUCCAUUCAUAACUGUAGGCACUUUCACCAUUUUUUUUCAAAGUAAAAUAGAGUUUUCACUUUGAGAAUAACCUGUGUGGCAAGCAAGCGAAGGAUUUUUCCCCCCUAAUAAAUCAAAUUCAACAGCCUAAUAAAAUGCUGGCUCCCCCUGCCCCCACCACUGCCUCCCUCCCUCCCACCGUCCCACUCUCAGCCAACAAUCCCUGGGAAUGGAGAGUAGUGGGCAGACCCAAAGGAGGUAGGGAAGGUGAGCUGAGAGCAGAUGAAGGGAAUUAAAACGCCUUUUGAAGGCUCAUGGGCUUGUUCGGCAGACUAAAGAGUGAGAUCGGUGGGGAAGGGGGUUGAGGGGUGGAGGCAGCAGGAGCGUAAGCAGUGUGCCUUUCCCUUUCCCUCUCCACCUACUUUUUCAGCCAUUCUGGGCUUGUUUUAAAACACUUCUUUUCUUCUCCUGCUCCCUCUACUCCACAGCUCAUCCCCAAACCUUCAGUAAACCUGCUGCUUCCUUUUUUUUGCAUGGGGAAGAGCAAGAGAACUAUGCUCCUAAGGAUGGAGCAAGUGCUCUUGGGCCCCACCUGCAGCUGAAGGCCCAGGGAGGAGUGUCUGCCUGCCUGUCUCCUCAGAGCAAGGCUGAGAGAUCUCCCUCAGCCUUUGAAGCCUCCAGAGAGUGAGUUUGCAGGAGAUAAGUGCUGAUAAACAUCGAGUUUGGUGCUUAUCCGCAGCAAACACAAUCUUUUGAGGUUCUCUCUGCACUCACAGGCCAUAGAGACUCUAAUCAGAAAACAGAAGGGAAAAUGCAAAACCAAGCAGUAUUUGCUGCUGAUUUUUCUUCUUUUUUGUUUUGUUUCGGUUUACACACUGAAAAGCCUAACAUAGAUACUGUCAUACAAGAGACUCCAGAGCAGAAAUGUAGCCCUGGGUCUUUGCUUUGUUUGGCUUUUUUGGUUCUGACGUCAAGGGAAGAUGUCUUCACAGAGCUGCACAUGAAAAGGAUGGGCCGGACACUGAUAACGACGGCAAUCUGCCUCCAGCAUUCUUCUUUCCAAAGCGCUCUUAGUCAUUGCAUUAUCUGGCCCUUAUGGCAACUCUUUAAGAAUUUGCUGAACAUUUGCCUUGGGAAACCAGUAAACAAUGCAGUUAUUGGUCCACUGUCAGCCUAGGCUUCUGCUUUGAGAUGUUUUACCUACGGUGGAAAUUGUCAUCUGUACCUGGCAUGUCUCUGGGUGUAUCUAAAACAAGCAUGUCUCAAGAAAUCUUUCCAGUUCCUACAUUCUCAACCAAAGUUUCUCAAGUGACAAACCAACUCAGGGUAUGAAGCUACCAGUUAGAAUUUCAAGUGUGACAAGCCUGCUACAAGAGUGUAUCUUAACUCUAGGGUUUCAGAAGCCAGAGGGCUCAUGCUACCGCCAAAAGCUGUGGCUUACCAACUCGUAUCACCCCUUUCCUUGGAAGUUUCUUAAGAUUCCAAAAUGUAAGAAUUAUUACCAGGUGUUC